GGACGCUGGGAUCAUGACCUGAGCCGAAGGCAGACGCUUAACGACUGAGCCACCCAGGGAAGAGAAAUGUGAAAAAACUUCCUGAGGCCAGAGGGCAGUCAGCUGUAUAACCAGCCGUCACCAGAUGAUGGAAUACUCAGAAUACACUAUCUUCUGCUCUGGCGCUGGACGAAUCCUGAAAUUUUCAAAUCUUGCUGGUAGUUUCUAAAUCUAAAGCCAUGAGGAAGGACAAAAGCAAAUGGAAAGGGACAUUACAUUACUAAUGGUCACAGGAACAAAAGUGCACUAAACUGAGUCAUCAGUAAAUUACUAUAACCCCAGGACUCUAACACCCUUAAGGAAAAACAUGGCAUGCAUGGCAAAUAAUGCUUUAAGGAUUUAUUUAACAAUUUUCUCCCCAGAUGAAAAUUAAAAGUGUUUCAUGGAGUCAUUUUGAGAUAAUCUCAGAAGUAUUAGCAAAAAGGAACUGGUCUUUUUUAUACUUAAUGGGGGAAAAUGUUCGUAUUUUAGAAUAGCAUUCUGUGAUUAUUUUUAAUGGGAAAAUAAAAUAUAGGUGACUUCUCCAGGAAUCAAUAUCCUCUUUUCUCCAUCCGUGGUGUUUUGCAGGCUGAUUAAUUUGCAGAGGUUGGGUUUGAUUGCUGCUGAAGUAGAAAGUGUUAUAGAUUCUCUGUUACUCUUCACUCCACUUGGCUGAGGUCUGUGGUUCUAUCUCUAUGUAUUUAU